rnacentral:rRNA from 1 species
UCAAAAGGUCUUAGUGGCGAACGGGUGAGUAACACGUAAGUAACCUACCUUUAAGACGAGGAUAACAAUCGGAAACGGUUGCUAAGACUGGAUAGGAAACAGAAAGGCAUCUUUUUGUUUUUAAAAGACCUUCUUCGGAGGGUAUGCUUAAAGAGGGGCUUGCGCCACAUUAGUUAGUUGGUGAGGUAAAGGCUUACCAAGAUUAUGAUGUGUAGCUGGACUGAGAGGUUGAACAGCCACAUUGGGACUGAGACACGGCCCAAACUCCUACGGGAGGCAGCAGUAGGGAAUUUUCGGCAAUGGAGGAAACUCUGACCGAGCGACGCCGCGUGAACGAUGAAGUAUUUCGGUAUGUAAAGUUCUUUUAUUGAAGAAGAAAAAAUAGUGGAAAAACUAUCUUGACGUUAUUCAAUGAAUAAGCCCCGGCUAACUAUGUGCCAGCAGCCGCGGUAAGACAUAGGGGGCGAGCGUUAUCCGGAAUUAUUGGGCGUAAAGGGUGCGUAGGCGGUUAGAUAAGUCUAUAAUUUAAUUUCAGUGCUUAACGCUGUCUUGUUAUAGAAACUGUCUUGACUAGAGUGAGAUAGAGGCAAGCGGAAUUCCAUGUGUAGCGGUAAAAUGUGUAAAUAUAUGGAGGAACACCAGAAGCGUAGGCGGCUUGCUGGGUCUUUACUGACGCUGAGGCACGAAAGCGUGGGGAGCAAACAGGAUUAGAUACCCUGGUAGUCCACGCUGUAAACGAUGAGUACUAAGUGUCGGGGAAACUCGGUACUGAAGUUAACACAUUAAGUACUCCGCCUGAGUAGUACGUACGCAAGUAUGAAACUUAAAGGAAUUGACGGGACUCCGCACAAGCGGUGGAUCAUGUUGUUUAAUUCGAAGAUACACGAAAAACCUUACCAGGUCUUGACAUACUCUGCAAAGCUAUAGAAAUAUAGUGGAGGUUAUCAGGGAUACAGGUGGUGCAUGGUUGUCGUCAGUUCGUGUCGUGAGAUGUUAGGUUAAGUCCUAAAACGAACGCAACCCCUGUCGUUAGUUGCCAGCACGUAAUGGUGGGGACUUUAGCGAGACUGCCAAUUAAACAUUGGAGGAAGGUGGGGAUAACGUCAAAUCAUCAUGCCCCUUAUGAUCUGGGCUACAAACGUGAUACAAUGGCUAUUACAAAGAGUAGCUGAAACGCGAGUUUUUAGCCAAUCUCAAAAAGGUAGUCUCAGUACGGAUUGAAGUCUGCAACUCGACUUCAUGAAGCUGGAAUCGCUAGUAAUCGCGAAUCAGCAUGUCGCGGUGAAUACGUUCUCGGGGUUUGUACACACCGCCCGUCAAACCACGAAAGUUAGCAAUACCCGAAAGCAGUGGCUUAACUUCGCAAGAAGAGGGAGCUGUCUAAGGUAGGGUUGAUGAUUGGGGUUAAGUCGUAACAAGGUAUCCUUACCGGAAGGUGAGGAUGGAUCACCUCCUUU